GUGGGGAAUAUUGGACAAUGGGGGGAACCCUGAUCCAGCCAUGCCGCGUGUGUGAAGAAGGCCUUUUGGUUGUAAAGCACUUUAAGCGAGGAGGAGGCUACCGAGAUUAAUACUCUUGGAUAGUGGACGUUACUCGCAGAAUAAGCACCGGCUAACUCUGUGCCAGCAGCCGCGGUAAUACAGAGGGUGCAAGCGUUAAUCGGAUUUACUGGGCGUAAAGCGCGCGUAGGUGGCCAAUUAAGUCAAAUGUGAAAUCCCCGAGCUUAACUUGGGAAUUGCAUUCGAUACUGGUUUGCUAGAGUAUGGGAGAGGAUGGUAGAAUUCCAGGUGUAGCGGUGAAAUGCGUAGAGAUCUGGAGGAAUACCGAUGGCGAAGGCAGCCAUCUGGCCUAAUACUGACACUGAGGUGCGAAAGCAUGGGGAGCAAACAGGAUUAGAUACCCCGGUAGUCC
rnacentral:rRNA from 1 species